GACGAACGCUGGCGGCGUGCUUAACACAUGCAAGUCGAACGGAAAGGCCCUGCUUUUGUGGGGUGCUCGAGUGGCGAACGGGUGAGUAACACGUGAGUAACCUGCCCUUGACUUUGGGAUAACUUCAGGAAACUGGGGCUAAUACCGGAUAGGAGCUCCUGCUGCAUGGUGGGGGUUGGAAAGUUUCGGCGGUUGGGGAUGGAUUCGCGGCUUAUCAGCUUGUUGGUGGGGUAGUGGCUUACCAAGGCUUUGACGGGUAGCCGGCCUGAGAGGGUGACCGGCCACAUUGGGACUGAGAUACGGCCCAGACUCCUACGGGAGGCAGCAGUGGGGAAUAUUGCACAAUGGGCGGAAGCCUGAUGUAGCAACGCCGCGUGCGGGAUGACGGCCUUCGGGUUGUAAACCGCUUUCGCCUGUGACGAAGCGUGAGUGACGGUAAUGGGUAAAGAAGCACCGGCUAACUACGUG
rnacentral:rRNA from 1 species